rnacentral:rRNA from 1 species
UACGUAGGGUGCAAGCGUUAAUCGGAAUUACUGGGCGUAAAGCGUGCGCAGGCGGCUAUGCAAGACAGAUGUGAAAUCUCCGGGCUCAACCUGGAAACUGCCAUUGAUACUAUUAGUCUUGAAUUUUGUUGAGGUAGGCGGAAUAAGUCAUGUAGCGGUGAAAUGCAUAGAUAUGACUUAGAACACCAAUUGCGAAGGCAGCUUGCUAAACAAAUAUUGACGCUGAGGCACGAAAGCGUGGGGAUCAAACAGG